rnacentral:rRNA from 1 species
UACGAGGGGGGCAAAUGUUGUUCGGAAUUACUGGGCGUAAAGGGCGCGUAGGCGGCCUGCUAAGUCGAACGUGAAAUCCCCGGGCUCAACCCGGGAACUGCGUCCGAUACUGGCAGGCUUGAAUUCGGGAGAGGGAUGCGGAAUUCCAGGUGUAGCGGUGAAAUGCGUAGAUAUCUGGAGGAACACCGGUGGCGAAGGCGGCAUCCUGGACCGAAAUUGACGCUGAGGCGCGAAAGCCAGGGGAGCAAACGGG